rnacentral:rRNA from 1 species
UACGUAGGGUGCGAGCGUUGUCCGGAAUUAUUGGGCGUAAAGAGCUCGUAGGCGGUCUGUCGCGUCUGCUGUGAAAACCUAGGGCUUAACUCUGGGCGUGCAGUGGGUACGGGCAGGCUAGAGUGCGGUAGGGGAGACUGGAAUUCCUGGUGUAGCGGUGAAAUGCGCAGAUAUCAGGAGGAACACCGGUGGCGAAGGCGGGUCUCUGGGCCGUAACUGACGCUGAGGAGCGAAAGCAUGGGGAGCGAACAGG